GCAACUCGACUACAUGAAGCUGGAAUCGCUAGUAAUCGCGAAUCAGAAUGUCGCGGUGAAUACGUUCCCGGGUCUUGUACACACCGCCCGUCACACCAUGGGAGUUGGGAAUGCCCGAAGCCGGUGACCUAACCGAAAGGGAGGAGCCGUCGAAGGCAGGCUUGAUAACUGGGGUGAAGUCGUAACAAGGUAAC
rnacentral:rRNA from 1 species